rnacentral:rRNA from 1 species
GCUUAGAGUUUGAUCCUGGCUCAGAUUGAACGCUGGCGGCAUGCUUUACACAUGCAAGUCGAACGGUAACAGGUCUUCGGAUGCUGACGAGUGGCGAACGGGUGAGUAAUACAUCGGAACGUGCCUAGUAGUGGGGGAUAACUACUCGAAAGAGUAGCUAAUACCGCAUGAGAUCUACGGAUGAAAGCAGGGGACCUUCGGGCCUUGUGCUACUAGAGCGGCUGAUGGCAGAUUAGGUAGUUGGUGGGGUAAAGGCUUACCAAGCCUGCGAUCUGUAGCUGGUCUGAGAGGACGACCAGCCACACUGGGACUGAGACACGGCCCAGACUCCUACGGGAGGCAGCAGUGGGGAAUUUUGGACAAUGGGCGAAAGCCUGAUCCAGCAAUGCCGCGUGCAGGAUGAAGGCCCUCGGGUUGUAAACUGCUUUUGUACGGAACGAAAAGCCUGGGGCUAAUAUCCCCGGGUCAUGACGGUACCGUAAGAAUAAGCACCGGCUAACUACGUGCCAGCAGCCGCGGUAAUACGUAGGGUGCAAGCGUUAAUCGGAAUUACUGGGCGUAAAGCGUGCGCAGGCGGUUUUGUAAGACAGUGGUGAAAUCCCCGGGCUCACCUGGGAACUGCCAUUGUGACUGCAAGGCUAGAGUGCGGCAGAGGGGGAUGGAAUUCCGCGUGUAGCAG